CGGGCUUCUACCCAGCGUCGAAGGAAAUCGGCGCUGGGGAUCAGGUAAGUAAAUCAAAAGGAUUUUAACCCUUUAUUUAUCAGAGGGGGUGGUGUGGCGACGGAGUGGGGAGGCAGAGGGAUCGGUAGUGCCAGGAAUACAGCUUUGUAUUCCUGGCAUUACAGUAUCCCUUUAAUACACCCACUAUCAAUCAUUAAAUCGUAUAAUCAGAUAAAGCGCGGCUGCACAGUGUCAAUACUCACAUUAUAGAAAUUGAACAUCGAAACUCUCUCCUGUUACAGAUUAUAUAUCUAUAACUAUAUAAAGUUUAUAUAUCUAUACUAGGGAUCGAUCAAUUAU